rnacentral:rRNA from 1 species
GAUGAACGCUAGCGGCAGGCUUAACACAUGCAAGUCGAGGGGUAUAGUUCUUCGGAACUAGAGACCGGCGCACGGGUGCGUAACGCGUAUGCAAUCUACCUUUUACAGGGGGAUAGCCCAGAGAAAUUUGGAUUAAUACCCCAUAGUAUGUUAGAGUGGCAUCAUUUUAACAUUAAAGUUCCAACGGUAAAAGAUGAGCAUGCGUCCCAUUAGCUAGAUGGUAAGGUAACGGCUUACCAUGGCGACGAUGGGUAGGGGUCCUGAGAGGGAGAUCCCCCACACUGGUACUGAGACACGGACCAGACUCCUACGGGAGGCAGCAGUGAGGAAUAUUGGACAAUGGGCGCAAGCCUGAUCCAGCCAUGCCGCGUGCAGGAAGACGGUCCUAUGGAUUGUAAACUGCUUUUGUACAGGAAGAAACACUCCCUCGUGAGGGAGCUUGACGGUACUGUAAGAAUAAGGAUCGGCUAACUCCGUGCCAGCCGCCGCGGUAAGAC